GACGAACGCUGGCGGCGUGCCUAAUACAUGCAAGUUGAGCGCUGAAGGUUGGUACUUGUACCAACUGGAUGAGCAGCGGACGGGUGAGUAACGCGUGGGGAAUCUGCCUUUUAGCGGGGGACAACAUUUGGAAACGAAUGCUAAUACCGCAUAAAAACUUUAAACACAAGAUUUAAGUUUGAAAGAUGCAAUUGCAUCACUCAAAGAUGAUCCCGCGUUGUAUUAGCUAGUUGGUGAGGUAAAGGCUCACCAAGGCGAUGAUACAUAGCCGACCUGAGAGGGUGAUCGGCCACAGUGGGACUGAGACACGGCCCAGACUCCUACGGGAGGCAGCAGUAGGGAAUCUUCGGCAAUGGACGAAAGUCUGACCGAGCAACGCCGCGUGAGUGAAGAAGGUUUUCGGAUCGUAAAACUCUGUUGGUAGAGAAGAACGUUGGUGAGAGUGGAAAGCUCAUCAAGUGACGGUAACUAACCAGAAAGGGACGGCUAACUACGU
rnacentral:rRNA from 1 species